GAUAAGUGCUGAAAGCAUCUAAGCACGAAACUUGCCCCGAGAUGAGUUCUCCCUGACUCCUUGAGAGUCCUGAAGGAACGUUGAAGACGACGACGUUGAUAGGCCGGGUGUGUAAGCGCAGCGAUGCGUUGAGCUAACCGGUACUAAUGAACCGUGAGGCUUAACCUU
rnacentral:rRNA from 1 species